AGGCGAGGCACUAGAGGGUCACCUUGUCUCGCCUGGCUCCUCGGAACGCCUUUAACAACACUGCUUCUUACUAUCUAUUUCUGUAAUGAAGUUGUAGGAUUAGAUCAACUCCUACUUUGUCUUUCAUGUCUCAGUAAAAGGAUUAUGUGAAAGUGGUCUAAUUUUAUUUGAGUGCAUAAAGGCUAACAUCUCAAAGGAUAUGCCAUCAAGUAGCUGUAGAAUUUCUCAUGUCAGUGAACUCUUGCAUAAAGAAAUUGAACUUUGUAAUUAAGCAAUUUUGUUUCCCUCUUCUGAUAGUCAAUUUGGCCAGGUUAAGGAAUUGUUUUAAUAAGUUGUCCCCUUUUCUUUAUUCUUACAUGCUUUUAGGGAUUUUGGGUGGCAGCAGCUGUAUGCUCGUUUUUGUGGAAGAAUAGUG
rnacentral:misc_RNA from 1 species